rnacentral:rRNA from 1 species
UAGGUGUCCUUAGUGGCGCACGGGUGAGUAACACGUGGGAACAUACCUCAUAGUACGGAAUAACUGCGGGAAACUGUAGCUAAUACCGUAUAUUCCAGUAAUGGGAAAGAUUUAUCGCUAUGAGAUUGGCCCGCGCAAGAUUAGCUUGUUGGUAAGGUAAUGGCUUACCAAGGCUCCGAUCUUUAGCUGGUUUGAGAGGACGACCAGCCACACUGGGACUGAGACACGGCCCAGACUCC